GCCUGACCCAGCAACGCCGCGUGAAGGAUGAAAUCCCUCGGGAUGUAAACUUCGCAAGAACGGGAAGAAUAAGUAAGGGUUAAUAUCUCUUACGAUGACGGUACUGUUUGUAAGCUCCGGCUAACUCCGUGCCAGCAGCCGCGGUAAUACGGGGGGAGCAAGCGUUGUUCGGAUUUACUGGGCGUAAAGGGCGCGUAGGCGGCCACCGCAAGUCGACUGUGAAAUCUCCGGGCUUAACCCGGAAAGGUCAGCCGAUACUGCGGGGCUAGAGUGCAGAAGGGGCAACUGGAAUUCUCGGUGUAGCGGUGAAAUGCGUAGAUAUCGAGAGGAACACCUGCGGCGAAGGCGGGUUGCUGGGCUGACACUGACGCUGAUGCGCGAAAGCUAGGGGAGCGAACGGGAUUAGAUACCCCGGUAGUCCUAGCCUUAAACGAUGAAUGCUUGGUGUCUGGGGUUUUAUAGUCCCCGGGUGCCGUCGCUAACGCUUUAAGCAUUCCGCCUGGGGAGUACGGUCGCAAGACUG
rnacentral:rRNA from 1 species